AUUUUUAUCGAGAAAUCAAAUGAUGCCGGUUUAUGGAAAUUUUUCCUAGCAUAAUAUUUUUUUUAAAAAUUAUUUUUCCUAUGAGGAGGAAUAUUAUAAUUGAGUGAGUGCACUAAUAUUAGUGCUAUAAUUAUUUUAUUUGAUCACAUGAAUAAUUAUGCUAUGGUAUUUUAUUAAUGAGUAACAUUUCCAUAGUUAUUGUGAUUAUUAAUUGAUCACCCUUCUCACAUUUUUCUUUAAUUUCCCUACCAUGUGACUAAAUACCACAAAUUUACCAAGUGUAGAGAUUGAGAGAGUGUAGAGAUUAGUGAGAGAGUGUAGAGAUUAGAGAGAGAGAGAUCAAGGCAAUUAAUGCCCAAUAUUCACUAAGAUUACAAAUCUUUCAUAAGAUUUCCAAAUCCAUUUCAUAUCUUGCAAAUUUCUCUCUCUCCUUUCCUCCCUAACUUUCGACCACCACCUCUCUCCCUUCUCUCUCACAUUUCCUCCAUUGUCAACCAUGGGAGAGACCUUCGAAGCUUCACCAAAAUAUGCCAAACACAUAAAUCACCAACAAAAUCCCACAUAAACACAUCCUAGCUACUUGAAUUCAAGAGAAUCAUUGGAGAUUGCUUCCAAGGCUAGAGAGAGAAAGUGUGAUUGUUGGUGUAAAGUUUGGACACGAGCAGAGCAAGGAAGUAAGUAACUCCGCUUUGACGGGAGAUUUUGAGUAAGGUCUUCAGGCUAAGCGAGGAGUGAGAUUGGUCUGGUGCUGGUGGGGGAUCAUUAGAUGACGUAUUUACUUUAUCGUAUUUCCUUUUUAUCGAUAAAGUCUUGACGUGAAGUUACUUUGAAUAUGAAUCAAGUGAUAUACUCACGGUUAUGUGUCUUCAUACAUAUAAUCGGUUCGCCUUUUGCUGCGAUACUCUGCAUAUUAUGUUUCCUUAUGAAAAAUAAGCUAUACCUGUUUUGUUUUUGUUCAUGAAAUUCCUGAUAAUUAAAAAGUUAUAACGACAUUGACGAUUUUA